GGGGAGGGAGAGGGAACUGGGAUUGACAUGUGAAGCAAGCUAUUUAAAAUUAAAAUAAAUAAAUAAAUGAACAUGAGGAAAGAGAAAAAAAAGAAGCAAGCUUGCUUCACAUAUCAAUCCCAGCUCCCUCUCCCUCCCCUCCUCCCCUGCUUCCCCAACACCCCCCUCCUUCCCUUACCCCGUGCCCAAUCCCCAAUCCAUUCCUCAGAGGAUGACCUUCCCCCAAAUAGAGGAAGACCGGUCUUUGGUCAAGGGUGUUCUAGUAUCUGUGCUUCCCUGUUAGAACUUCCAAACAAGCUCUCAAGGUCUGACAACUAUUUAAAAAGGUUUUUAAAAUCUUGUUAAAGUUAAGACUGACACCAUAAUUUUAUGUAUAUAAAAUUAUAUUAUGU
ensembl:misc_RNA 7SK 7SK RNA